GGAGUCGGCCAGACAGUCGCGUCAUCCACAUGCAAGUGUGCGGUGCCGAGGAAAGUCCGGGCUCCACAGGGCACGGUGCCAGGUAACGCCUGGGCGGCGCGAGCCGACGGAAAGUGCAACAGAAAGAUACCGCCGAACGCUCCUGUCGUUGUGGGGCGCUUGUCGGACGAAAGUCCGACCAGGUGUCAUGCACAGCCGCAACGUUGAGCACAGCCGCAAGGCUGGGUUAAACGCAAGGCUGAGGCAGGAGGCGUGGCAAGGGUGAAAUGGUGCGGUAAGAGCGCACCGCGAGCCUGGUAACAGGCCGGCACGGCAAACCCCACCGGGAGCAAGACCGAAUAGGGACCCCAUGACGUUGCCCGCGUCAGGUCCGGGUAGGUUGCUUGAGCGUAUCGGUGACGAUGCGCCUAGAGGAAUGACUGUCCACGACAGGACCCGGCUUAUCGGCCGACUCCGCCA
rnacentral:RNase_P_RNA from 1 species